AACGAACGCUGGCGGCAGGCUUAACACAUGCAAGUCGAGCGCGCGCCUUCGGGCGUGAGCGGCGGACGGGUGAGUAACGCGUGGGAACGUGCCCUUUUCUCCGGAAUAGCCCUGGGAAACCGGGAGUAAUGCCGGAUACGGCCUUUUCGAGUGGAGCGGGGAGGGGAAAGAUUUAUCGGGGAAGGACCGGCCCGCGUUGGAUUAGGUAGUUGGUGGGGUAACGGCCCACCAAGCCGACGAUCCAUAGCUGGUUUGCGAGGAUGAUCAGCCACACUGGGACUGAGACACGGCCCAGACUCCUACGGGAGGCAGCAGUGGGGAAUCUUGGACAAUGGGGGCAACCCUGAUCCAGCCAUGCCGCGUGAGCGAUGAAGGCCUUAGGGUUGUAAAGCUCUUUCAGCGGGGAAGAUAAUGACGGUACCCGCAGAAGAAGCCCCGGCUAACUCCGUGCCAGCCGCCGCCGUAAUAC
rnacentral:rRNA from 1 species